rnacentral:tRNA from 1 species
GGACCCUUAGCUCAAUUGGUUAGAGCUGACGGCCCAUAACCGUCCGGUUGUAGGUUCGAGUCCUACAGGGUCCACCA